rnacentral:lncRNA from 1 species
GUUGGAUCAAGAGUAAAGAAGAUUAUUUUUAAUGCAGAUUUUUUUUUUUUUCUUUUGGGAUGUAAAAAUCACUUUUGGAAAUUCAUCGCUUAAGAUGAGCUGAAUUAUCAGUUUGGUUUUUGUGACAGUAUUUCUAUAUUGUCAUGCUUUUCUUUCAAGGUAGCCUAACUUCUCAAAGCCAAGUAUGUUUGUUAUGGAGCAAAGAGUCUGGUGCACUUGCUCCUUUUAUGGACAAGUGCAGAUGUCAACUACCAUUACCAGAGUUCUCUCCUGCAUGCACUUCAAACUUAAAUAUCCACAGGAUCUGACUUGUGAUGUGCCAAGUGAUGAUCAGUAAGGCUCAAAAAUGCUUCAAGGCCUUGAUAAGGUGAUAGCAGAUGCUUAAAGAUGUAGUGGUCACAAAGAUUAGGAGAUGCUGAUUACUUUUAAGGGCAAUACUGCAGCAGCCAAAUGAAAAGAUGUUAACAUUGCAAGGACCUGAGGAGUUGGAGUUACAAGAUUAAGACAUAAAAGUGAAACAGUGAAAGAUGAUAAGAAAAUACUACUUUUUCUCAAGGGCUGAAGUUGGAAACUAUUUAAAACGUAACAAACCCCAGAGCUGAUCCCUGUUCUUUGAGUAGCAGCAGGAGUGUGGCUGUUAUGGCUUGACAUGGAAAUGAGGAACAAGCUCUGCUCCCCAGCAGGUGCCCAGGUGGAAAUUUGCAGUUAUCUCUUCAGGGGCUGGUGUAAAUCCCAAACUGUUGAAGAGCAAUCACUGUGCAAACAGAAGCUCCAAGUGAAUGAACUCAGAAGCGGAUGUGGCAAAUUCCCUGAUCCCAGUAAAGGAAGGAAGAUGGUGAUAUUCACCUGA